GACGACGCUGGCGGCGUGGAUUAGGCAUGCAAGUCGAACGGUAUCAUCCUUUCGGGGGUGAGAGAGUGGCGAACUGGUGAGUAACACGUAGGUUAUCUACCCUCAAGACGGGGACAACCCAGGGAAACUUGGGCUAAUACCGGAUGUGAGCAACUUUUAGUUGUUUGAAAGGUGGCGUAAGCUGUCGCUUGGGGAUGAGCCUGCGUCCUAUUAGUUAGUUGGUGAGGUAACGGCUCACCUAGGCAAUGAUAGGUAGGCGGCCUUAACGGGUGGUCGCCCACACUGGGAUUGAGAUACGGCCCAGACUCCUACGGGAGGCAGCAGUCGAGAAUAGUCUACAAUGGUCGGAAGACUGAUAGUGCGACGCCGCGUGAACGAUGAAUCCCUUCGGGGUGUAAAGUUCUUUUAUAUGUGAGCAGUGCUUCUUAUAUUAACAGUAUGGGGAGAGAGAUAUUAGCCAUAUGAAUAAGCAACGGCUAACUCCGUG
rnacentral:rRNA from 1 species